UACGGAGGAUGCGAGCGUUAUCCGGAUCCAUUGGGUUUAAGGGGUGCGUAGGCGGCUGUUCAAGUCAGCGGUGAAAUGCAAGGGCUUAACCCUUGACGUGCCGUUGAAACUGAGUGGCUAGAAUGCGGAUGCUGUGGGAGGAAUGUGUAGUGUAGCGGUGAAAUGCAUAGAUAUUACACAGAACACCGAUUGCGAAGGCAUCUCACAAAUCCGCGAUUGACGCUGAGGCACGAAAGUGCGGGGAUCAAAC
rnacentral:rRNA from 1 species